UUCUAGGCUUCUUCAUGACAGAUAUCAACAUAAGAAGUCCAGAUCCUGGGCCACAUCCAAGCUGCAUUCAGAAAAGAGAUGAGUUUUCUCAAUUGAUGUGUUUCUUGGACUGAGACUCUAACCCCAUUUUCUGAAAGAGAUAUGAAAAAGAAUGCAUGUGUCAGUUCUCUCUAUGGCAAUGGAAAGGCCCUGGACCCAAGUUAAACAAGUUGAAUGGCAAGUAUUGUCUGCGAUAAGGAAAAAAGAAGACAAGCAACAGGGCCAAGACUUCAUCCAGACUUUAAGUAUCUGACAGUAUCAGCAUGGGAUCUCUGUUGAUACAGAACAAAGAAGCUAAGAGGAAAAAGACUGAUGGAAAAUGUGGUGUUUGUAUCUGCUUAAUGAAAAGUUAACUAUCCACUUCCUGUUUUAUAAUGUCUGGUGCAGGAUGACUUCAAGCAAAUAAAGAAGGGUUUUUUUGUCUAAGUCCAGUUCUUCUGUUUUGCGGGUGAAAAUUACAUCUUCAGAUUGAGAACAUCCAUGAACUUGUGCUGCUGGCUGCUUGAGUUAUAAAACCAGAUAUGAAGGGGUAAAAACAAUCAUCUCUCUCAUCCCACCAGCUGAUGUUGCCAAACUGUUGGCAUAUAUAUUGUGGGAGCAAUUUCCACCUCCAUAGGAAAGCUACACUGCUGACGUUUUAUUUCUUGGUGUACUUCCUUACACUUCCUCAGAAAAAUAACAAGGUUUCUUGUACUUCUCAUAUAAAUGUUCUGAGAAACUAAAUUAAAUUAUACUUCUGAAACAUGAUGAGGUGU